rnacentral:rRNA from 1 species
UACGUAGGUGACAAGCGUUGUCCGGAUUUACUGGGCGUAAAGAGCGCGCAGGCGGUCGUUCAAGUCGAGUGUGAAAGCCCCCGGCUCAACUGGGGAGGGUCAUUCGAUACUGAUCGACUCGAAGGCAGGAGAGGGUAGUGGAAUUCCCGGUGUAGUGGUGAAAUGCGUAGAUAUCGAGAGGAACACCAGUGGCGAAGGCGACUACCUGGCCUGUUCUUGACGCUGAGGCGCGAAAGCUAGGGGAGCAAACGGG